rnacentral:lncRNA from 1 species
UCCGGUGAUUAUUUCUGUGAGUGCCUAAAUAUAUAUCCUCUGCUCUCCAAAUGGUAGUGUUUGAGGUUUUCAUUUCUCCCCCUUCCAGUUCUGCUGAGCACCUUCAAUUCCCCUUUCCCCAGCUCGAAGGAAUUGGCGCCUCCGUUAGUGACCCCGAGUAGUGAUGCAAUGAUGUAUUGUUUGAUCUUCUCCAAAGAUUUUCAAAUAGUUAUACUUUGAUUCAGAGCUCGUUGUGUUUUACUGUAUAUGCAGUUUGUUCUUAUGAAUUUCUCCGAGUAGGUAGAUCCUUUAGGGUUACUAACUUACUGUGAACAAAUAUUUUGUCUUGUUCGCGUAGUUUCCAAAAAUGAAGAAGCUUGUCGUUCAACCGAUGACAAAACACCUAGAGUACGUGCAAAAAUUACUACUUCCUCAUUUACAGCAAACUCAUUGAUACGACAAAGGCAAAAUUUUGGGUGGCAAGGUAUAUGAUUAGAUCAUGUGUAAUCUUCUAGAUGCAUUUUUCUAUUCUUCCAUUGUGUUCUUUAGACAUGCCUCUUUUUGUUAUUUUACAUCAGUUAACUGAAGUUCAUAUUAUUCCUUUAUCUGAUUGUAGCUUCAAAGUUUGAUUACAGCAGAGUCAUUGAUACAACAUACACAGUUUGUGAAUUUACCUACUACUACGAGUUACGUCAUAUAGCAAUGUUUUCUUGCCUAGAAAAAUAUUACAUGAAAGGCCUAAUGUCUUGUGAAUGUGUAUAGUAGCUACGAGUAGGUGGUCAAACUGUACACCUUUAAAGCAUGAAUAAGGUGCUAGCUUAUGUGCUGCAGUUGCUUUGCAUUGUUCAGAUGCAAUGUGUUUUCGCUCAGCGGGAGCACUUCUUCUGAUUAUUUAUAAUUUUUAGUUUGCUUCUUAUAAUUUUAAGACAAUUUUUGCGACUUGGAAUGUAUAGCAUCCCCCUUUUCUCACUGGAAAUGACAUGUAAGAACAAACCAGUUCUAGUUCUGGCAUAGUUCUGAUGGUUGAAGUGUAUGUCUAUAUGAUUUAGUAUAUGCAUGGGAGUACCCGCUAAACGAUGAAGCAUAUUGUGUCGUGUUAGCUCCAUCUAGCUUUAUUAUCUUGAAUUCUGUAUCUAGAUUUUGUAUGUUGUAUUCCCUUUCACCGCGUCUACAUACUUGAUGAAGCUUUUUUCUGAUUGCAAAGUAUGUGCAAGUCAGUAGUGAACACUCUAUAUCGUUGUUCCAGAAAAGCAAGAUUCAGCAAUUUCCGCAACAUUUCAUGUCCGUUCCAUGUAGUAGUUUUUGCGGAAUUAUAUUGAUGAUUUCCUUUUACCUUCAUAUUUGCUUAGUUUUCUUAGCAAACACAAAAUGCUUUGCGUCUUGAAGCAUUGAUAGAAGCGAACAUAAUUCAUGAUACAAGCCUAAUACUCUGAAAAUAUUUUUACGGUUCACUAUUCCUAUGAGGGGAGUGAGUGGAGACAGCCAUGAGUGGCUCAACAUGUCGAGCAGCGGCCGCCUAUGAGGGGAGUGAGUGGAGACGUGCAAAUAUGUGUGGUGGAGGGGCAACGGAAGCUUGAACGGAAGAUUCGUCGCCAACAUCAAAGAAAUCUAUGGCCUGAUCGACCCUAAAGCUCCUGCAUGGACAUGAAG